GCUUCUGAGAAGUGGUGGUGCAUGCCUGUAGUCCCAGCUGCUUGGGAGGCUGAGCCCACUGAGUCGCUUGAGCCCAGGAGUUCUGGGCUGCAAUGUGCUAUGCUGAGGAGGUGUCCGUGCUAAGGCUGGCAUCACUGUCGUGAGCCCCGGGGAGCUGGGGCACACCAGGUUGACUAAGGAGGGGUGAACCAGCCCAGGUUGGAGAUGGAGCAGGUCAAAGCUCCUGUGCCGGUCAGUAGUGGGAUUGUGCCUGUGAAUAGCCACUGCAGCAUAGCCUGGGCAACACAGAGAGACACAGGUUCCU
rnacentral:SRP_RNA from 1 species